rnacentral:rRNA from 1 species
UACGUAGGUGGCAAGCGUUUGUCCGGAUUUACUGGGCGUAAAGAGCGCGCAGGCGGUCGUUCAAGUCGCGUGUGAAAGCCCCCGGCUCAACUGGGGAGGGUCACGCGAUACUGAUCGACUCGAAGGCAGGAGAGGGUAGUGGAAUUCCCGGUGUAGUGGUGAAAUGCGUAGAUAUCGGGAGGAACACCAGUGGCGAAGGCGACUACCUGGCCUGUUCUUGACGCUGAGGCGCGAAAGCUAGGGGAGCAAACG